GACGAACGCUGGCGGCGUGCUUAACACAUGCAAGUCGAACGGAAAGGCCCUGCUUGUGUUGGGUGCUCGAGUGGCGAACGUGUGAGUAACACGUGAGUAACCUGCCCUUGACUUUGGGAUAACUUCAGGAAACUGGGGCUAAUACCGGAUAGGAGCUCCUGCUGCAUGGUGGGGGUUGGAAAUUUUCGGCGGUUGGGGAUGGACUCGCGGCUUAUCAGCUUGUUGGUGGGGUAGUGGCUUACCAAGGCUUUGACGGGUAGCCGGCCUGAGAGGGUGACCGGCCACAUUGGGACUGAGAUACGGCCCAGACUGCUACGGGAGGCAGCAGUGGGGAAUCUUGUACAAUGGGCGGAAGCCUGAUGCAGAAACGCCGCGUGCGGGAUGACGGCUUUCGGGUUGUAAACCGCUUUCGCCUGUGACGAAGCGUGAGUGACGGUAAUGGGUAAAGAAGCACCGGCUAACUACGUG
rnacentral:rRNA from 1 species